AUAGAGAUUCAAUUUUUCACAUAGACAGGGACAUCAAAGGGAGAUAAAAUCAUUUAGCUCACUGAAAAGGCUAUAAAACCGGACAAUAGAUAGCAUUUCAGAGACAAGGUGCUGGAAGAAUACCUUCUAGCUCAUCAACAUAAUGCGCUCAAAUAUUUUCCCCAUAAAGACGCUUCCACAGCAUCAUAGCUUGACCAGGUCUGAAUCCAUGAGAUUGAACCCAUUUCUGGCAUAGUGGAUUCCCACAAUUAUUACUUGGAAAACUUUAACAUAAAAUUAUAUAUAAAUUCUCAUAUUUGGAAUAUUAGAAUUUAUUUUGAAUUUCUAGUCUAGCUAGCUUGGACCACAGUUUAAAAUUGUAUACUUUUUUGAGUUUAGUAUAGGAAGAAAAGGAGAGUAGAAAAACACACUUCAAGCUCAGUGUAAUUCAUUCCCUUAAGAAGCACCUUUGAACCCUUGGUUAGAAUAGCAUUCAUGUCUCUACUUCCUACACAAAUAAACAGCCACAAAACAAAUAAAUAAAUAAAAUGGGAGCUCAAAAAACAACAUAUGUUAC